AGCCAGCAAACUCUACCUGGGUACUGUCAUGAAAUAGUGAGGGAUUUCGGGAGUUCACCGAAAUCUGAAGCUACUGUUUAAUCCAAACAGACUGAAAAUGUGAUAUCUUUCUGACGCGUUCGACUUUAAAUCACCGUCGAACUGGACACAGAUAGUGAAGUUUAUGACAUAUUAACUUAAUGACAAAUUGAAGUACUAAGUUGUUGGAACUGGACGUGUUACCUGAAGACUCUUGGCUGAAAGGGAGAAGAUGAUCUGCAGGAUCCUGCUGCUCAUCAGCCUCAACUGUGUCUGUGGUCAGUUUACAGCUUCACUUUCUGACUCUGUGAUUCAAUGAAGCAGUUAAAGUGGCCACAUGAACAUUUGUAGUGAAUGUGACACAGACGUCCUAUCAGGCAGAGGAGAACCACAACAUCACACUGGAGUGGACAUUCACAACCACAGCUGACACUCCCACAGACUCACUUCAUAUCUUCUGUGAGAUGAAAAGUAAUCAGACAGUCUCAGUCUUGUUUGAAAUACGUGGAGGUGUUGAGAUCCCAGAGUCUCAGGAUCAACAGUUUGUAGGACGAGUCCAGUGGGACAAAGACGUCCUCAGAGACGGACGACUCAGACUUCAUGUGUCCAGACUCAGGACUGAGGACUCAGGACGGUACCUGUGUGAUGUGGAGACACACUAUGAUGGAGGCUCGGGUGAAUGUCGGCUCAACGUCUCUGGUAAGUUGGUUGAGUAGAAGUCAGUAGAACUUUAUCAACAGGUUCAAUUCAGCAGCUUUGUUGGAUCAAUAAGAAGCUGAAGAAAAGUUUUGAGGACGACCACAAUCCUUCACUUCAUUCUCACAGUAUCUGAGAAAUGUGUCACAACUUCAUCUGUUCUGUUGUUUUGGUCUCUUUACAGCAGCGAGAGAUCAACCAGAACCUGAGAGAUCCAAGCCAGCAAGUCGAGGAAGGAUCGUCCUCUGCUGUGUUCCGGUACUGACAGCAGCAGUUGUAGUUGGGUUGUUUGUUCAUAAAGUGUGUUGCUGAUGAACUAAAGUCCUUUAACUGAUGAACAACAAUAAUGGAGUUGAAGGAGGAAACAUUGUUCUUCACCUUCAUGUUGUCAGUAUUUUUAAAGGACGUCUCAUCAAACUCUGUCUUUCAUUGGACUGAUCUGAGAUCUGCUGUGUGUUAUUUUACAGAAGUAAUGCUGAGAAGCAUGUUGUCUUUGUAUACCGUAUACGUGAUGUUUUUUGUGUAUGUACCAUUUAUAUUUUGCAUUUAAAAAUGUCACAUUAUGCUUUUAGGGUUUUUGCCGUUCCUUAAUUUUGUUAUAGAGCAUUUUUGCACAUGUACAAUGUCUGCAAAGUGAAAAAGCUUAAAGUCCAGGUUACAGGGAGUUAAAACUCUGCUCCUGCACUGCCUGAAGCUGCUGGUCUGGAGUCGAGCCUUUACCUUUACAUUUGUUAUAGCAUAUCCUCACUCCAGUCGGUUAGCAGGCAUACAGUUGCUAUGGCUGUAUCUCCGUAAUUUUAGAUCACACUACCUUGUUUGGCAUGACCCACCCUACUCCGACUCUGAUUGGCUACAUCCUGCCAGAUGGAACAGAGAUGCGAUGUCUCACUCUGUUGCUAAAACUUUUAGCUGUGUGAAGCUUUGUUAGCACUGUGAACACGAAAAGGGAGGCUGCAGCGUGAGAAAAUUAUAAUAUGACCUCUUUAGAGCACAGUUAUUUUUAUAUGAUAUUAUUACAAUAUAUAUAUUACAAUUAUUAACAUCAGUGUUAUUAUUAUUAUUAUUAUUAUUAUUGUUAUUAUUAUUAUUGUUUUUAUUGUUCUUAUUAUUAUUAUUAGCAUUAUUAGUAUUAUUAUUAUUAUUAUCCUUGUCUGGACUCCAGCAGGGUGUAUUGAUCUCUCUGUUCUGAUGUGUCAUGAACACUGACUUUUUUUUCUCUUCCAUCAACUGAAAACAAAUGUUGUUACAGUGUUGUUACGUUCCUCUUCUGUUCUGACAUCCUGUAAACUGUCAGACUGUCCAGAUGUUUCCUACAGCUGUAACUCUCACUGAGCUUCAACAUUUCCUUGUUGUGCUCAGCAGAGGGAGCUCUUUAUCUUUGUCACCAGUUGACACAUCCUCACCUGGCUGCAGGUGACAGCUGAGAUCAUUUGGACCUUCAGGUUGUUGAAAUGUGACUGAAGGUCACAAAGACGUUCACAUGUUGUGUUUUAUCUGUGAUAUUUGAUUUAAAUGUGACUUCUGACUCAGUUUGUCUCACAUUUCUUGAAUAUUUCAGUAAAUCAGUGUCACAGAUGAAGAUGUUUGACCUGAUUAAUUCACAACUCCUGAAUAAAAGUCCAGAUGUUUCAGCUCUGACUUGUU